AACUUUUAAAGGAUAACAGUCAAUCCAUUGGUCUUAGGA
rnacentral:tRNA from 1 species